rnacentral:rRNA from 1 species
CCUACGGGCGGCUGCAGUGGGGAAUAUUGGACAAUGGGGGGAACCCUGAUCCAGCCAUGCCGCGUGUGUGAAGAAGGCCCUCGGGUUGUAAAGCACUUUCAGUGAGGAAGAACGCCUGGUGGUUAAUACCCAUCAGGAAAGACAUCACUCACAGAAGAAGCACCGGCUAACUCCGUGCCAGCAGCCACGGUAAUACGGAGGGUGCGAGCGUUAAUCGGAAUUACUGGGCGUAAAGCGCGCGUAGGUGGCUUGAUAAGCCGGUUGUGAAAGCCCCGGGCUCAACCUGGGAACGGCAUCCGGGACUGUCAAGCUAGAGUGCAGGAGAGGAAGGUAGAAUUCCCGGUGUAGAGGUGAAAUGCGUAGAGAUCGGGAGGAAUACCAGUGGCGAAGGCGGCCUUCUGGACUGACACUGACACUGAGGUGCGAAAGCGUGGGUAGCAAACAGGAUUAGAUACCCGUGUAGUC